rnacentral:rRNA from 1 species
GCGGAGGAAAAGAAACCAACAGGGAUUGCCUCAGUAACGGCGAGUGAAGCGGCAUCAGCUCAAAUUUGAAAUCUGGUCUCACGAUCCGAGUUGUAAUUUGUAGAGAAUGCUUCGGGCGAGGUCCGGUCUAAGUUCCUUGGAACAGGACGUCGUAGAGGGUGAGAAUCCCGUAUGCGACCGGGUGCCUCCGCCCAUGUGAAGCUUCUUCGACGAGUCGAGUUGUUUGGGAAUGCAGCUCAAAAUGGGUGGUAAAUUUCAUCUAAAGCUAAAUACUGGCCAGAGACCGAUAGCGCACAAGUAGAGUGAUCGAAAGAUGAAAAGCACUUUGGAAAGAGAGUUAAACAGUACGUGAAAUUGUUGAAAGGGAAGCGCUUGCAACCAGACUUGCGCGUAGCCGAUCAUCCGGUGUUCUCACCGGUGCACUCGGUUGCGCUCAGGCCAGCAUCGGUUUCGGUGGUUGGAUAAAGGCCCGGGGAAUGUAGCUCCUCUCGGGGAGUGUUAUAGCCCUGGGUGCAAUGCAGCCUACCGGGACCGAGGACCGCGCUUCGGCUAGGAUGCUGGCGUAAUGGUUGUAAGCGACCCGUCUUGAAACACGGACC